rnacentral:rRNA from 1 species
CAGUCGCCGCGGGAACACAGAGGGUGCGAGCGUUAAUCGGAUUUACUGGGCGUAAAGCGUGCGUAGGCGGCUUUUUAAGUCGGAUGUGAAAUCCCUGAGCUUAACUUAGGAAUUGCAUUCGAUACUGGGAAGCUAGAGUAUGGGAGAGGAUGGUAGAAUUCCAGGUGUAGCGGUGAAAUGCGUAGAGAUCUGGAGGAAUACCGAUGGCGAAGGCAGCCAUCUGGCCUAAUACUGACGCUGAGGUACGAAAGCAUGGGGAGCAAACAGGAUUAGAUACCCGAGUAGUCCCUGUCUCUUAUAC